rnacentral:rRNA from 1 species
UACGGGGGGAGCAAGCGUUGUUCGGAUUUACUGGGCGUAAAGGGCGCGUAGGCGGUCAGCACAAGUCAGUUGUGAAAUCUCCGGGCUUAACUCGGAAAGGUCAACUGAUACUGUGCGACUAGAGUGCGGAAGGGGCAACUGGAAUUCUCGGUGUAGCGGUGAAAUGCGUAGAUAUCGAGAGGAACACCUGCGGCGAAGGCGGGUUGCUGGGCCGACCUUGACGCUGAGGCGCGAAGGCGUGGGGAGCGAACGGG